rnacentral:rRNA from 1 species
CCAGCAGCCGCGGUAAUUCCAGCUCCAAUAGCGUAUAUUUAAGUUGCUGCAGUUAAAAAGCUCGUAGUUGGAUUUCGGGUGGGCUUCACCGGUCCGCCUUCGGUGAGUACUGGUGCGGCCCAUCUUGUUGCCGGGGACGGGCUCCUGGGCUUUAUUAUCCGGGACUCGGAGUCGGCGAAGUUACUUUGAGUAAAUUAGAGUGUUCAAAGCAGGCCUACGCUCUGAAUACAAUAGCAUGGGAUAACAUGAUAGGACUCUGGCCUAUCUUGUUGGUCUGUAGGACCGGAGUAAUGAUUAAGAGGGACAGUCGGGGGCAUUCGUAUUUCAUUGUCAGAGGUGAAAUUCUUGGAUUUAUGAAAGACGAACUUCUGCGAAAGCAUUUGCCAAGGAUGUUUUCAUUGAUCAAGAACGAAAGU